CAGCCGCCACGGUAAUACGGAGGGGGCUAGCGUUGUUCGGAAUUACUGGGCGUAAAGCGCACGUAGGCGGCUUGGUAAGUUAGAGGUGAAAGCCUGGAGCUCAACUCCAGAAUUGCCUUUAAGACUGCCGAGCUAGCAGGUGAGAGAGGUAAGUGGAAUUCCGAGUGUAGAGGUGAAAUUCGUAGAUAUUCGGAAGAACACCAGUGGCGAAGGCGGCUUACUGGCUCAUUCUAGACGCUGAGGUGCGAAAGCGUGGGGAGCAAACAGGAUUAGAUACCCGUGUAGUCCCUGUCUCUUAUAU
rnacentral:rRNA from 1 species